CCUACGGGAGGCAGCAGUGAGGAAUAUUGGUCAAUGGACGAGAGUCUGAACCAGCCAAGUAGCGUGAAGGAUGACUGCCCUAUGGGUUGUAAACUUCUUUUAUAUGGGAAUAAAAUGUUCCACGUGUGGGAUUUUGUAUGUACCAUAUGAAUAAGGAUCGGCUAACUCCGUGCCAGCAGCCGCGGUAAUACGGAGGAUCCGAGCGUUAUCCGGAUUUAUUGGGUUUAAAGGGAGCGUAGGUGGAUUGUUAAGUCAGUGGUGAAAGUUUGCGGCGCAACCGUAAAAUUGCAGUUGAAACUGGCAGUCUUGAGUACAGUAGAGGUGGGCGGAAGUCGUGGUGUAGCGGUGAAAUGCUUAGAUAUCACGAAGAACUCCGAUUGCGAAGGCAGUUCACUGGACUGCAACUGACACUGAGGCUCGAAAGUGUGGGUAUCAAACAGGAUUAGAUACCCCUGUAGUC
rnacentral:rRNA from 1 species